rnacentral:lncRNA from 1 species
CGACGGCGUCCCGGUGUGAUUUUCGGGACUUCCAGCGAGUUACAGUGAUCGGUUUUAGGAAACUGAUUUUGGGGUUUUGUGUGGGGUUCAGGAGUUGGGUAUUUUGGAUUGGUGGGUUGGUUACUGACCCAGUGGAUCUUCGUGUUAAGGAUUUUUCUAAGUUGGCAGAUUUCGUGAAGUCGAAUGGAGUCUUGAAGAGUUGAAGACGAAGAUUGGAAUGAAGAAUGUGUGAUUCACGAUCAAAAGACUCGUUCGUGAUGCUCAAUAUCUCAGGUAUGUGUGUUAAUAAUUUGUGGUGAAAUUCUAGACAUUUAAUAGUGUUUGGAAGACUUAUAUGGUUUUUAAAUGUAAAAAUUCUGGACAAACUGAGCUUUUUGAGGUUCAGGGUUCGGACCCCGUAGGUCUCCUCUGCGUGUACGCAGCGAG